AUUAAACUAGAGGAGAGAUGUAUUUUUUUUAAACUAGGGGAGAGAUGGAGGGAUGUAUUUUAUUCUACUAGAGGAGAGAUGGAGGGAUGUAUUUUAUUAAACUAAGGGAGAGAUGGAGGGAUGUAUUUUAUUAAACUAGAGGAGAGAUGGAGGGAUGUAUUUUAUUCUACUGGAGGAGAGAUGGAGGGAUGUAUUUUAUUAAACUAGGAGAGAUAGAGGGAUGUAUUUUAUUAAACUAGGAGAGAUAGAGGGAUGUAUUUUAUUAAACUAGGAGGGAUGCAUUUUAUUCUAGAGAGAUGGAGGGAAGUAUUUUAUUAAACUAGAGGAGAGAUGGAGGGAUGUAUUUUAUUCUACUAGAGGAGAGAUGGAGGGAUGUAUUUUAUUACACUAGAGGAGAGAUGUAUUUUAUUAAACUAGAGGACAGAUGGAGGGAUGUAUUUUAUUAAACUAGAGGAGAGAUGUAUUUUAUUAAACUAGGAGAGAUGUAUUUUACUCUACCAGAGAGAUGUAUUUUAUUAUACUAGGAGAGAUGGAGUGAUGUAUUUUAUUAAACUAGAGGAGAGAUGUAUUUUAUUAAAUUAGGAGAGAUGGAGGGAUGUAUUUUACUCUACUAGAGAGAUGUAUUUUAUUAUACUAGAGGAGAGAUGGAGGGAUGCAUUUUAUUAAACUAGAGGAGAGAUGGAGGGAUGCAUUUUAUUAAACUAGAGAGAUGUAUUUUAUUCUACUAGAGAGAUGGAGGGAUGUAUUUUAUUAAACUAGAGGAGAGAUGUAUUUUCUUAAACUAGAGAGAUGUAUUUUCUUAAACUAGAGGAGAUGGAGGGAUGCAGGGAUGUAUUUUAUUAAACUAGAGGAGAGAUGUAUUUUCUUAAACUAGAGGAGAUGGAGGGAUGCAUUUUACUCUACUAGAGAUGGAGGGAUGUAUUUUAUUAAACUAGGAGAGAUGGAGGGAUGCAUUUUAUUCUACUGGAGGAGAGAUGGAGGGAUGUAUUUUUAUUCUACUACCAGAGGCGAGAUGGGGGUAUGCAUUUUAUUCUACUAGAGGAGAGAUGGAAGGGUGCAUUUUAUUCUACUUGCAGAGACGGAUGGAUUUUAUUCUACGACUAGAGGAACGGUCAGAGAUGGCAGAGCUUUGGCUUUGCAGCUUUUAAGUUGGAUUAAAGGUAUACGCUAGGAUACUUUCGUGAGCCAAUGCUAACUAGUGUUAGCACAAUGACUGGAAGUCCAUGGUAUCAUGCACCCAGUCAUUGCACUAACACCAGUUAAUAUUGGCUCACAAAAGUAUCCUUGCGUUAAUCAGACUGGGUGAGUAGAUAGGUUUUCAUUGUCAAAAUCCCUUUAAAUGUAGAGCUGAUGUGGAUGGUGUCAGUAAAGGAAGAGAUUAUUUUUAAAGUCACAUUUACACAACCCUCAUCUACCGGUAGAAAUUAGGGGGUGGUGAGGUCAUCACUCUCCUGCAAGACUCAGCCUAUCCUGUGGGGCUGCCAUGGGGUCUCCAGGUGCAUCCUUGAUGUCAUCUCCUGAGAACACGCCAACCUGUGUGUUGGCUUCAUAGAGGUAGAAAGGAUUCCUCUGUGCCUCAAUGGAUUCUGUGACAGCAUGGGUAGCGCCAUCUCAAUUUGAAAGUUGUCAAUUUUCUUGUUUGAAAUGAGUAUUGCUAAUAUUGGUGAUUUAGCGCCACCUGCAGUGCUGAACCAAAUCUUUAUUCAUUUGUUGGCUACCAAAUUUAUAAAAAUGUAUUUUACAAACCAUAGGCAACAAUUCACUGACUACUUUGAAAUGGUGGAAGCCAUUUUUUUUUCACUUUGACUUUUCUACAUUGUAGAAUAAUAGUUAAGACAAACUAUGGAAUCAUGUAGAAAUCAAGUGUUAAAUAAAUCAAAAUAUAUGAGAUUCUUGACAGCUUUGCAUUCUCUCAACCAGCUUCAUGAGGUAGUCACCUGGAAUACAUUUAAAUUAACAGGUGUGCCUUAAAAGUUAAUUUCUGGAAUUUCUUUCCUUCUUAAUGCGUUUGAACCGAUGUAGGGGUGGUAUACAGAAGACAGCCCUAUUUGGUGCAAAGAGAAAAAUACGGUCAGUCAAUACAGAAAAUUUCUUCCAAGUGCAGUUGCAAAAACCAAGCGCUAUGAUGAAACUGGCUCUCAUGAGGACCACCACAGGAAAGGAAGAACCAGAGUUACCUCUGCUGCAGAGAAUACAUUUAUUAGAGUUAACAUCCUCAGAAAUUGCAGCCCAAAUAAAUGCUUCAGAAUUCAAGUAACAGACUGCGUGAAUCAGGCCUUCAUGGGUCAAAUUUCUGCAAAGAAACCACACCAAUAAGAAGACUUGCUUGGGCAAGAAACACAAGCAAAGGACAUUACACCAGUGGAAAUCUGUACUUUGAUGAGUCCAAAUUUUUGAUUUUUGGUUCCAACCGCCGUGCCUUUGAGAUGCAGAGUAGGUGAACGGAUGAUCUCUGCAUGUGUGGUUCCCACUGUGAAGUGUGGAGGUGAUGGUGCUUUGCUGGUGACACUGUCUGAUUUAUUUAGAAUUCAAGGCACACUUAACCAGCAUGGCUACCAUGGCAUUCUGUAGCGAUACGCCAUCCCAUCGUGUUUGGUCUUAGUGGGACUAUCAUUUGUUUUUCAACAGGACCAUGACCCAACACACCUCCAGGUUGUGUAAGGGCUAUUUGACUAAGAAGGAGAGUGAUGCAUCAGAUGACCUAGCCUUCACAAUCACCCAACCUCAACCCAAUUGAGAUGAGUUGAACUGUAGAGUGAAGGAAAAGCAGCAAACAAGCACUCAGCAUAUGUAGGAACAGCAUUCCAGGUGAAGCUGGUUGAGAGAAUGCCAAGCUGUCAUCAAGGCAAAGUGUGGCUACUUUGAAGAAUCUCAAAUAUAUUUAACACUUUUUUGGUUACUACAUGAUUCCAUAGAUGUCUACACGUAUUUUACAAUGUAGAAAAAAAUAAAAACCCUGGAAGCAGUAGGUAUCAACUUCUGACUGGUACUGUAUAUUUAUUUGGUGUUACAUGUAGGAGUGGAUUUCUUUUAAUUUGGGGCAUUUUAAUCAAAUAUAUCUGAGGUGCCCUUGAGCAAGACAUUUAACCCCUAAUAUGCAGGGUUUUUCUGGAUCAAAAAGGGUGGUGGGUGUGGCUGAAUUUGAGCCCCCCCCCCCCAUUUUGGCGGAGGUAGACAUUUUAUUUAAGCCAAUUUCUCCAUGGUGUUAGAAUACAUUUUGCAGUCUUAAAAGCAAAUGUCCUGCAAUUAAUUUACCAUGGCUAAUGCUGUGUUCUAACAAAUCAAUAACGCUUAAUUGCUUUUGAAAUGUAAAUCUCCCUGACUGUCAAGCUUUUUUGUGAUUGUUAGUUCCAUUAACUUGAUUUGGUUUUAGUCAUUUGUUUACAUAAAUCCAGUGUAAGUAAUAAAAUUAAUUUAAC
ensembl:lncRNA